GACGAACGCUGGCGGCGUGCCUAAUACAUGCAAGUCGAACGAGAGCGACCGGUGCUUGCACUGGUCAAUCUAGUGGCGAACGGGUGAGUAACACGUGGGUAACCUGCCCAUCAGAGGGGGAUAACAUUCGGAAACGGAUGCUAAAACCGCAUAGGUCUUUGAACCGCAUGGUUUGAAGAGGAAAAGAGGCGCAAGCUUCUGCUGAUGGAUGGACCCGCGGUGCAUUAGCUAGUUGGUGAGGUAACGGCUCACCAAGGCCGUGAUGCAUAGCCGACCUGAGAGGGUGAUCGGCCACAUUGGGACUGAGACACGGCCCAAACUCCUACGGGAGGCAGCAGUAGGGAAUCUUCCGCAAUGGACGCAAGUCUGACGGAGCAACGCCGCGUGAGUGAAGAAGGUUUUCGGAUUGUAAAACUCUGUUGUUAGAGAAGAACAAGUGCUAGAGUAACUGUUAGCGCCUUGACGGUAUCUAACCAGAAAGCCACGGCUAACUACGUGCCAGCAGCCGCGGUAAUACGUAGGUGGCAAGCGUUGUCCGGAUUUAUUGGGCGUAAAGCGAGCGCAGGCGGUUCCUUAAGUCUGAUGUGAAAGCCCUCGGCUCAACCGGGGAGGGUCAUUGGAAACUGGGGAACUUGAGUGCAGAAGAGGAGAGUGGAAUUCCAUGUGUAGCGGUGAAAUGCGUAGAUAUAUGGAGGAACACCAGUGGCGAAGGCGACUCUCUGGUCUGUAACUGACGCUGAGGCUCGAAAGCGUGGGUAGCAAACAGG
rnacentral:rRNA from 1 species